rnacentral:piRNA from 1 species
UCAGCAAAGGUCUGGGUUAGGGUUACACUG